CUGGAGUGGGCAAAGAGAACUGCAUUCAGAUCAAACGGAUACAAGAGAGGUGGCCGAGUUGUUUGAGGAUCUAAAGAAUUGAGUGUCACAAUUCAACAUGCACAUCAGCGAAACUUUUUCCCUCUGACUACACCAGCACGCACGCACAGAAAUUCAUAGUGCAGGUGUGUAAUCUCCCUCCAUUUGCAUUCCUCUACUAUAAACAGCUCCAGUCUCUCUUCAGACACUGUGGUUAAAUCAAAUCCAUCUCCUUUGACAGCUCCAGGGCCUAUGUAGAGUUCUACCGCUCGUCAAUGAGAGGUUCUGGCGUUCUCCCAGAGGUCUCUCUGUCUCUCCUCCUCACGCAGCAGAGAC